AAAAUUAGUUCAGCCGCACCUGAGACAGUGGAUUUAGUUUUCUAGGAAACAAAAUUCAAACCGUCCCACCACGAGCAUCCAGGUAUUUAUAAUAUAUAAAAUUCAUCGUGAAAAGCAAACUAGUUUGUUUGGAAACAAGCGUAACCCAUAAUGAUAAGUUUUAAUUAGUUAUUGAAAGUGUUGGGCAUGGGUCAACCUGGACCCUAGUUUAGUUCAACUCAAACUUCGUCUUCCUACAGCAGAACUCUUCCGAGCAAAAAUCUUUUCCUGGAAACAUUCUAAGUCAUCGGCCGUUUUAGAUUAAAGUUGUGCAACUGUAAUUUAAAAAUUAUAAUAUUAAAAUAUUUAAUAAAUAAAUUAUUAUUAUUUAUUUUAUAAUUAUUAUUUUUUUCACAACAACUGUAUUUAAAAAAUUACAGUACCUUAAUACCAAACAAAACCUAAAUACAAGGGGUAAAGAAGACUUUCGGCAUCGGAUAAUGGACAAUGCUUACCAUCCUGCCUGCAGUGUAUGAGAUGAUGAGAACCGCAAAUUUAUUGCCGGGCCAUCGCUGUCUUCAAAAACUGCAAGCCCCCAGGAUAUUGGCAUGUAUGAAAGUUUUUGUUUUUUUGGAUGGGGGCAUGUAUGAAAGUUUGCUUCUUGUGCCUUCUUGUGGGUUAGCAAAGCGCAUUAUGUUUUCAGGGCAAAUUCACCAAUGCCGCAGUUCGCAGAACAACUACAGUCUUGCCAUUUUUCCUGGACCUCACUCUUCACCUCCUCUCCGAUGAAUCUUCUACAUUUUCCAGUAGAAAAAGAGAACUCGGUGUCCGUGAAAUCGAAGAUUUAUAAACGCCAUAUCGUCUAAAUGAAAAUUUGUUUGACGACAUGCCAUCUCUAGUAAAAACAUUAGACGACUAGUCACGAACGGCAUGCGUCUGACCAUACAAUUCAUGACUAGUCGUCCAUGUAUAAUUUUUAAGACGGCAAGUCGUGUCUGAGAAAAGUGAUCAGACGACAUGUCCCUCAAAUACGUUUAUUAAAUUCAAAAUGUACAUACAAAAAGUCAUUAUUUGGGAUUGAGGUUGAAUGGAUAUAACUUAAAAGUAACAAUAUUAAAGUGUUCG
rnacentral:lncRNA from 1 species